rnacentral:rRNA from 1 species
UACGAAUGGAGCGAGCGUUGUUCGGAAUCAUUGGGCGUAAAGCGUAUGUAGGCGGACUGAUCAGUCAGACGUGAAAUCCCGGGGCUCAACCCCGGAAUUGCGUUUGAUACUGUCAGUCUAGUAUCCCGGAGGGGCCAGCGGAAUUCCUAGUGUAGAGGUGAAAUUCGCAGAUAUUAGGAGGAACACCAGUGGCGUAGGCGGCUGGCUGGACGGGUAUAGACGCUGAGAUACGAAAGCGUGGGGAGCAAACAGG